GGUCUCAUUGCUCAUUUAGCUGGAGCGUUAGCUGUAUUAAGCCUUCCAUCUGCUGGCGUGGGUUCGAAUCCCACUGAAACCA
rnacentral:tRNA from 1 species